UUGUUUCUUGGAAGUUUUGUUUGUUGUCUUCUCAGCAGCCCAGUUAUGUUUGCUGCCAGCAGCCCAGGGUGCCACAGUCACUUGUACAAUUCCAUACGUUCAUAUCUCCACAAUCAGAACAGAGCACAGCCCAUCAUUGGUCUGAACUCCAUCACAGAGGUGUUGGCAUAUAAUCAGCCUGCAUUGUACUUUUGUGAUGUCUGCGUUUUGAGAAUAACCAAGGCUGAUAUCAGGAACCACAUCAUGGGCAG